UGCCUGACUCUGCAGGCAGCCUGAAAAACUAGCUUUGGUGCAUGCAUCUCAAUGCGGUGUGAACUCCAAGAUCCACAAGCCUGGGGUCUUUGCUAACACCAUCCCAACAGAAGACUCUGGCAUGAGAAGAUUGCAGUGGCCCACCCAUCCACUCAAGCAGAUAUACCCCAGCUGCUAGGAUAAGUACUGAGGGUUCCCCUGCUGCCCUCCUAUUUCUCUGAGGAGAGGGGAACUUUGCUGCCAUCCCUGCUGAUCUUGAGGAGAACCCCUGCUACCACUCAGAGGUGGCGGGUGAUAAGGUUGACAACAGAUGCACUCCAGCUGCCAAAUCCCUUCCAAGUGUCCCCCUGAGAUAUCCAGCCUAUGAUCACCGGAUACCCACAGAAAUCUCAGAUCCUCUAUUCCCAAAGGAAGGUCUUUUGUGUCCUCAAGUAAUAUCACCCUGAACAAUUGAAUUCCAUCAAGAACUGAAGAAGAACCUAAGAGGAACUUUUUGGGGAAAGACUUCCUGUGAUGAAUUCAGAACAGGACCUCUGAAGCUCACAUACUUCAUGCACAGGCUUCAUAGUUCUUGUUUCUUUCUGGCUACAGAGGAGGAGAACUGGUGCAAGAUUUGUCCCAUCAUACAGAGAAGUUCUGGACCCUUUCUCUUGCCAAGUAAUUACAGAAAGGCCUCACAUCUUGGAUCUACCAGGAAGCUUUAUGGAUUAAAGGAAUAGCCGAGGGGACUCUGCAUUAGUGCUGAUGGAGGCAAUAAAUGUCUGCUUUGUCCUGCUUAUGUUUGUGGUGAUGACUCUCCUACAAAGAAGAACUCUAUGGAAGCAAUGUGCACUCAUCCAAGGACAGAAUUUGACCUAAAUGUUUUAAAAGAAAUUGAUUUCCAUAACAGCCAAAUGUCGACAGAAAUUCCUACGCGUAUCUAUGGAAAAGACAAGAGGACUUCUGUAGAAGAUUAAGGUUUGGAUUUUCAGCUUUAGCUGAAUUGUGCUUGGUGCAGGCCCAAAGCUGGGGAGCAAAGGUGGCUUUUCAGCACCUCUGGAAACCAGACCACUUUUAUUUAGGGGUCCAAAUAUAGAUAAGAUACCCAGGUUUGAAAAUGUUGGCUGUGACAGAUACUUCUGUAUUAUACUCCUUAAUGUAUUUUUAGUCAGUUGUCAUCUAUCUAUUUCCCCCACACACACAAUGUAUCACAUGUGUAACUGUCCUCUGAAUUCUUUUCAUCAGAGACCCUAACAUAGACACUUAUGGCUCUGCAGAUGUUGCUACCGUCAGAACUGUUUUAGUUUCUGUUCUUCAGAAAUAAUCCCACCUUAAUGAACUGAAAGAAUUCUACACAGAGCUCGUCUAGUUGAAUAUGAAAGAGGUCAUUGCUAACUGUAGUUUAAUUUCUCAGAAAUUACGCACACACAUUCCUCACAAAUCAAGGGCCAAAUCCUGAUCCACUGACGUCAUUGACUAAACUCUCAUUCACUUUGAUAGGACCAGAAUGUGGCCCAAAAGAAUAAAUCACUAAGGAUCUGUUUUUAGAGGUUUUGAGCAACCCCUUUACAUUCAGAUAGAGAUGUGAGUGCUCAGCACUUCUGCAACUCAAGAAAAAUGUUCAAACAUGGAUGAAUAAAGCUUGUGUUUUAAAAAAGACAUAUUUUUACAUUCUGUGACUGGGUUUUGGUCAUUCGUUACAAACUCUCCAAGCUAGAUGGGUUGUAUUCUUAAGCUUUCAAAAUG